AUUGAACGCUGGCGGCAGGCCUAACACAUGCAAGUCGAACGGUAGCACAGAGAGCUUGCUCUCGGGUGACGAGUGGCGGACGGGUGAGUAACGUCUGGGAAACUGCCCGAUGGAGGGGGAUAACUACUGGAAACGGUAGCUAAUACCGCAUAACGUCGCAAGACCAAAGUGGGGGACCUUCGGUCCUCACACCAUCGGAUGUGCCCAGAUGGGAUUAGCUAGUAGGUGGGGUAAUGGCUCACCUAGGCGACGAUCCCUAGCUGGUCUGAGAGGAUGACCAGCCACACGAGACCUGAGACACGGUCCAGACGCCAACGGGAGGCAGCAGUGGGGAAUAUUGCACGAUGGGCGCAAGCCUGAUGCGGCCGUGCCGCGUGUAUGAAGAAGGCCUUCGGGUUGUAAAGUACUUUCAGCGGGGAGGAAGGCGGUGAAGUUAAUAGCUUAACCGAUUGACGUUACCCGCAGAAGAAGCACCGGCUAACUCCGUGCCAGCCGCCGCUGUAA
rnacentral:rRNA from 1 species